UGAAGAAUUGCCUGAAAUGAGUUGGCCUGUGGCUAUGUGGGGCUUGUCUGUCAGACAUUGUGUUGACUGAUGACUGACGGAGGAGAGAUCUGCCCAGUCUGGGAAGCACAGUUCCUAGGAAGAGGUUUGGGGCAGUAUAAGAAAAGCAGCUGAGCGUGAGCCAGAGAGGGCCAUUAAAAAAAUGUUCCUUCACGGUUUCUGCUUCAAUCCUGCUCUGACUUCUUUGUAAGAUGAGACAAACCCAGUCCUUCCUAAGCUGCUUCUGAAUAGUGUUGUCAGUGACACUUGAACAGAGGUAGAUACUGUACUAUCGUCUAGCUCCUCCAUUUCCAGAAUCCUGCUCAAUCUGUGCGUGUUUUAUCUUCAUUUUUGUUGCUGAUUUUUGAAAUGUGCACUUCCUACAUUUUGCCUACGUUCACUUACACUGAAGGUGAACUGAUGGUCAACCCACCGGGAUGAGUGUCAGAGUUCCUUCUGUGCAGUUUGGAACAUUGCUGGAGCUGUCCCGUGAGAGAACUGCUGAGAAGGUUCGACACAAUGACUUUCAAGGAGACGGUGCCAAAGACAGAGACAGAAACAGAGUGAAAAGAAGGAAAACGUCUUCAAAGAGACAGCAUUAGGAAAGAGGGUGGCUUCAGAGUCUACUGGCAAGCACUGCUAAACACCAGGCUUGAUGUGGAAUGAAUGGUCCCAGUUGGGUGACUACUGUGGUAGCAUUGUUGUUACCUGUGGAUCAGGGAACUUCACACAAGGGUGUGGACCUCUGACGCGUCAUCCUCCUGUCAUGGAGUGCUGCACUGGGCCAUGCACUCUGUGAAGACUCCAAAACCACGAGACAAUGACAAGAUUCCCGGUGGAAGCCACUUAAAGGAAGAAGAAUUUACUUCGGCUCUCAUUCUGAAGGUUCACUGUGAAUCAGGAGGCAUGAUGGAGCUGAAACAUGCUGCUGGGACUUCUCAGGUCUCCAUGGAUCAGGAAGCAAGGAGAAUGGUGGAACUCAGCUGGCUUUUCCUUUCUUCCUUUUCAUUAGGUCUGGGCCCGCAGCUCAUAGGUGACACUCAUAUUCUGGCUGACAUUUUUCCUCAAGUAAUCCUCUCUAAAGUGCCCUCCCACACAUGCCCACAUGUGUGUCUCUUAGGGGGCUUUAAUUAGUCGUGCUUACAGGGAAGAUGAACCAUUUCAAUGACCUGGAAUACUUACUGGGGUUUGCUGGAAAUAGACUUGAUGCAGACUAGGAAUACUGGGUAAGCUCAGGGUUGGAGGGAACAGAUAAUAAUAGGGUGCAGGACUACCACAUGGCCUGGGUGAUUACAGAGCAGGGGAGCAUUGGCUUGGAGCUGGAGAUGUUAUAAAGGAGAAUAGUGGGGUACGGGCUUUGGACCAGUUGGAUUGUUGAAAGACACACUGAGGGGAAACACUUGCUAUCAGAAGGAAUCAGCUAGUCAUUGAGAGGCAGUGUCCCCUGGAAUCAGGCCCACUGUGCCAGGUUAGAGAACUAGGCAAACACAGGCCUGAUAAGCAAGCUCAUGCCAAACCUCUGCUUGCACAAUGCCUGAUAAAACACUAACGUGUUGAAAGGAGGCAAUAUGAUGGUUAAAGACGCACGACAUAGACACAGAGACAGAUUCUGUGGAAGGCUGAUAAGGUGAUAGCUGUUGGAUCCCUAAGUAGGCAUCUCUAUGGCCAGUCCCAAGGAACCUGACAAACGGGAUCUCAGGUAUCUGUGAGGCCACCUACAGGCCACCUUGUGGACCACCUGAAACCACCUGCACAUACUCUGGGUCACCUUAUAAGAGAACUCACAUUACCACCACCCUGUCUUGCUCUAACCAGAGACGGUCUCUGUGACCCCUACCCCCUUCCCUUAAUAAACCUCCCAAGUGGACUUAGUUGCGUGAUUUGAUUUGUGAACCCGCUGUGUAAUUUUGCUGCACAGUCCUAACAAUAGC